GAUGAGCGCUGGCGGCGUGCCUAAUACAUGCAAGUCGAGCGAACAGACGAGGAGCUUGCUCCUCUGACGUUAGCGGCGGACGGGUGAGUAACACGUGGAUAACCUACCUAUAAGACUGGGAUAACUUCGGGAAACCGGAGCUAAUACCGGAUAAUAUAUUGAACCGCAUGGUUCAAUAGUGAAAGACGGUUUUGCUGUCACUUAUAGAUGGAUCCGCGCCGCAUUAGCUAGUUGGUAAGGUAACGGCUUACCAAGGCAACGAUGCGUAGCCGACCUGAGAGGGUGAUCGGCCACACUGGAACUGAGACACGGUCCAGACUCCUACGGGAGGCAGCAGUAGGGAAUCUUCCGCAAUGGGCGAAAGCUUGACGGAGCAACGCCGCGUGAGUGAUGAAGGUCUUCCGAUCGUAAAACUCUGUUAUUAGGGAAGAACAAAUGUGUAAGUAACUAUGCACGUCUUGACGGUACCUAAUCAGAAAGCCACGGCUAACUACGUG
rnacentral:rRNA from 1 species